AACGAACGCUGGCGGCAGGCCUAACACAUGCAAGUCGAGCGGACCCUUCGGGGUUAGCGGCGGACGGGUGAGUAACGCGUGGGAACGUGCCCUUUGCUUCGGAAUAGCCCUGGGAAACUGGGAGUAAUACCGGAUACGCCCUUUUGGGGAAAGAUUUAUCGGCGAAGGAUCGGCCCGCGUUGGAUUAGGUAGUUGGUGGGGUAAUGGCCUACCAAGCCGACGAUUCAUAGCUGGGUUGAGAGGAUGAUCAGCCACACUGGGACUGAGACACGGCCCAGACUCCUACGGGAGGCAGCAGUGGGGAAUCUUAGACAAUGGGGGAAACCCUGAUCGAGCCAUGCCGCGUGAGCGAUGAAGGCCUUAGGGUUGUAAAGCUCUUUCACCGGGGAAGAUAAUGACGGUACCCGGAGAAGAAGCCCCGGCUAACUCCGUG
rnacentral:rRNA from 1 species